UUCGAUUCUGGCUCAGAUUGAACGCUGGCGGGAUGCUUCUUUACACAUGCAAGUCGAACGGCAGCACGGACUUCGGUCUGCGGGCGAGUGGCGAACGGGUGAGUGCAAUGUAUCGGAACGUGCCUAGUGGGGAUAACUACGCGAAAGGUAGCUAAUACCGCAUACGCCCUUCGGGGGAAAGCGGGGGACCUUCGGGCCUCGCACUAUUAGAGCGGCCGAUAUCGGAUUAGCUAGCUGUGGGUAACGGCUCACCAAGGCGACGAUCCGUAGCUGGUUUGAGAGGACGACCAGCCACACUGGGACUGAGACACGGCCCAGACUCCUACGGGAGGCAGCAGUGGGGAAUUUUGGACAAUGGGGAAACUCCCGAUCCAGCCAUCCCGCGUGUGCGAUGAAGGCCUUCGGGUUGUAAAGCACUUUUGGCAGGAAAGAAACGGCACGGGAUAAUACCCGUGCAACUGACGGUACCUGCAGAAUAAGCACCGGCUAACUACGUGCCAGCAGCCGCGGUAAUACGUAGGGUGCAAGCGUUAAUCGGAAUUACUGGGCGUAAAGCGUGCGCAGGCGGUUCGGAAAGAAAGAUGUGAAAUCCUGCGAGCUUAACUUUGGAACUGCAUUUUUAACUACCGAGCUAGAGUGUGUCAGAGGGAGGUGGAAUUCGCGUGUAGCAGUGAAAUGCGUAGAUAUGCGGAGGAACACCGGAUGGCGAAGGCAGCCUCCUGGGAUAACACUGACGCUCAUGCACGAAAGCGUGGGGAGCAAACAGGAUUAGAUACCCUGGUAGUCCACGCCCUAAACGAUGUCAACUAGCUGUUGGGGCCUUCGGGCCUGGUAGCGCAGCUAACGCGUGAAGUUGACCGCCUGGGGAGUACGGUCGCAAGAUUAAAACUCAAAGGAAUUGACGGGACCCGCACAAGCGGUGGAUGAUGUAGGAUUAAUUCGAUGCAACGCGAAAACCUUACCUACCCUUGACAUGUCUGGAAUCCCGAAGAGAUUUGGGAGUGCUCGCAAGAGAAAUCCCAACACAGGUGCUGCAUGGCUGUCGUCAGCUCGUGUCGAGAUGUUGGGUUAAGUCCCGCAACGAGCGGCAACCCUUGUCAUUAGUUGCUACGAAAGGGCACUCUAAUGAGACUGCCGGUGACAAACCGGAGGAAGGUGGGGAUGACGUCAAGUCCUCAUGGCUCCUAUGGGUAGGGCUUCACACGUCAUACAAUGGUCGGGACAGAGGGUCGCCAACCCGGGCGGCAGGGAGCCAAUCCCAGAAACCCGAUCGUAGUCCGGAUCGCAGUCUGCAACUCGACCGCGUGAAGUCGGAAUCGCUAGUAAUCGCGGAUCAGCAUGUCGCGGUGAAUACGUUCCCGGGUCUUGUACACACCGCCCGUCAUACCAUGGGAGUGGGUUUUACCAGAAGUAGUUAGCCUAACCGUAAGGAGGGCGAUUACCACGGUAUGAUUCAUGACUGGGGUGAAGUCGUAACAAGGUAG
rnacentral:rRNA from 1 species